rfam:TPA: Bos taurus chromosome 3, whole genome shotgun sequence.
UGUCUCAGCCAGUAAAGAAUCUGCCUGCAAUGCAGGAGACCCAGGUUCAACCCCUGG